GGAAAUCUCACGGGACACAUAAAGAGGAUUGACAGUUUGAUAGUUCUUUCUUGAUUCUAUGGUUGGUGGUGCAUGGCCGUUCUUAGUUGGUGGAGUGAUCUGUCUGGUUAAUUCCGUUAACGAACGAGAUCUUAACCUGCUAAAUAGAGAAUUGUACAAUUUUCUUCUUAGAGGGACUCUUGAUCGUUUAGAUCAAGGAAGUUUGAGGUAAUAA
rnacentral:rRNA from 1 species